CAGCGGCUCUCAUUUCAAGAGGUGACGGGGUUCGCCUCCCCACUUGUUUGGCUUUCAGAGGAGACCUCCUUGCUGCUGUCCCUGGAGGACCCACCCUGACGAAUGAGGUUCCUGCCCCCUCCAGAGGCCACCCAGACCUGACCUUCUCAGCCCGACAGUGGACGUGGCAACCAGGGGACAUUUCCUUGGAAGAAAAGAAGACCAUAUCCUGCAGAUGCUUCCAGGUGGUGAGCACAUGACCCAUGCUGAGCCAAUCUGUGACUUCAGCAGAGAAUUUAGAAUCAGAACCCAGAAGACUUCAGCGAAGGCUGGCUGUCUUCACAUGUAGAGGUUUUGGGGCUAUUGACUGCCGUGCUUUCUACUACUGGCUGGAGGGGUGGACGGAGCCAGGGGCUGUGAAGAAGAUGAAGAGACAACAGAGCAGCAGUUACCACGCCACCUCGAAUCCUCAGUUGCCAGCCCUGUCCUGGCCAGGAGUGCAGAACAGGUUGUCAAGUGAAUGAAAGAGGAAAGCAGAGGAUGCGACUUGUCCAAGGUCACUCUGCCGUCAGUGGCAGAGCUGAGACCAGAAUCCAUGUCUCUACUCGCCCUCUGUGGGGUCCUGCGUACCUCGCCAGCUUGGCCCCAGUUUUGCCCUCAUGACAUCCAAGAGGUGCUGGAAGCAUGACGAAGGUUGAGCUGUGCCCUUGGCCCCAGCCCUCAUAGCUCCCUGGCUAAUGAGUCAAGCAGUGAUCAAUGUCUGACCUGCAGGGGGACUCAGCCAUUCAAGAAGAGUGGCCUCAGCCUCAUCCACUAAGCCUUUAUGGAGUACUUCCUGCCUAACAGGUAGGUCCUGGCCCUGAGGGGUUCCCAGGCAUUUCUGCAAGGCAGGGUGUGUCCUUCUUUGUGAAUGCUCACUGCAGGCUUGAGAAGAGCCUGUCUUGGAUGUCUGGACAUCUGGAUUUCAAUCCAGUCUUUGCUACUCACUCCGUGUGGCCCCCCAAGCUAAAUAAAGGGUUAGAUGAAGGGUCCGAUCCAUGAGCUGAGGAGGGAGGAGAUGCACAUGGGAAGUGAGAGAACAGGAUGUAUCUCCCAGUUAGGUCUGGGGAUCUAAGCAUGGCAAGGGCCCCUGGGGCAGCCAAGGAGGUGGGAGGAGCCUGGACCUCCUGUGCCAUGACAGGUACUAGAGUAGAAGCAAAAGUCAUCCUGUGAGCACACCCGGGCAGAUGGGCCUGAUGUGGCCUCACAGAGCUCCCAGGAGCAGCAGAAGUCUUCUCUGUGCCCAAGAGGGUUUCCCACAGCCCAGAGAGUUGUGAACUCAGCAGCGUGUGUCUGAUGUGCCCAAGAGUGUGGCCCAGACAAGGCAUAGAGGUCAGGAGGACCUGGAGAGGCUGAGGGGGAGCCCAGAGGAAGGCUGUGCAUGGUCAGUGGGUACCAAUGUCUGAUGUCCAGACAUCUUGGGGAAGGACAGCAGGGCAGAUGCCCAAGAACUGGAUCUCCCUGUGUUCCCUCUGCCCUGCCUCAGCACCUCAUAAUCACCAUCCAACCCAAGAAAUGAGAUGGUGCCUUGACUAAGAUGAAGUGUCCUCCAUGCAAGUGAAAGAAGGGCUCAAAAUAGAAAUACAGUUCAAAUAGAUAAGGAAAGUUCUAUUUCUCAUGUACCUAGAUUUGUAGCCUGAAAUUUAUACACGCUACCCAAGGAUAAAGGGUUCAUACAGAUGAGAAAAGGUGGCUCUCAAAGAUAAUCAAACUAGUGUUAAUCUUUAUGUCUAUAACACUGGACAAAACUUCCACAAACUCUUAGGGAAAAGAUUUGUGAGCCAAGUGUUUUUCCCAAUCAAGAUACCAUUAAUUUUGUCGGGCAUUUUUGGGGCACUGAAGACUGAACAAAAUACUCAAACCAAAUGAAUAUGGGUUAGAAGAGAGAUUCCAAGAUAUGGGAAGAAAAAGUGUACAGCAAAUAAAUGAAAGGAAUGGCUACACAUAGUUAAAUUGAAAUGAAUAAUGAUGCAACUAAUAAUUUGUCAUUUUAAAAGGAGGUAUUCUUUUUUUCUCUUUUUCUUUUUAGGGCUGCACCUGCAGCAUAUGGAAGUUCCUGGGUAGGGGUCACAUCAGAGCUGCAGCUGCUGGCCUAUACCACAGCCACAGCAGCAUGAGAUCCAAGUCACAUCUGAGACCUAUGCUUCAGCUUGCAGCAAUGCCAGAUCCUUAACCCUCUGAGGAGGCCAGGGAUCAAACCAGCAUCCACUAUGUUGGGUUCUUAACCCACUGAGCCAUAACAGGAACUCCUAAAGUAGGUAUUCUUGAAACAAAGAAAGCCAUGCUAUAAGGAGAAACUUAGUAAGAAUCAGAAAUGAAGUAAUCAAAGUCUGUAGUGUCCAGUGGGGCUGCCACUAGUCACAGGUGGCUCUUCAUAUUUAAAUUAAUUAGAAUUAAGUAAAAUUGAAUAUUUAGUUCUUCAGUUGCACUAGCCACUUUUCACAUAUUUAGCAGCCACACCUGGGUUGUGGCAACUGUGUUGGAUGUUGGGUAUGGAACAUUCCCGUUAUUGCAGAAAAUUCUUUUGGGCAUCACUGGUCUAAAUUAUCAGCAAAUCCAUGGAGAGGAAAGAAAGUUUUGGGGAAUAGAGAAUAAAAGUGUUCGAAAGAUCCUCUAAAAGGAUAGGACAGACAAAACCAGCAGCAAAAUUGAAAAGCAGAGUGUAGUGUCUAACGAGCAAGUUGUGAUGGUGGCAGUGAUGGGAUUUGAAAAAUUAAGGAAUGAAGAGUAACUUGACCAAGUGAGAAAAGGCAACAGAGAAAGAGGGAGAAAACUAUGAUCAGUACUAAAUAUGAAAUUAGGUGGGUAAAAAACCUCAGUUCAUUAGCUAACACAGUAACUGUGAUCUGGAUGAAAUCCCUGUUAGAAUUCAAAGAUGUUAUUUCCAGUAGAUAUGUAGAGAAAAAUCUCCUGGGACAGAACGCCUAAAGUGCUGGAUAAAUUAAAAAAUAUGUAUAUUUUUUCUUUUUUGGCCACCCCGUGGCAUGUGGAAUUCCCAAGCCAGGAAUCAGACCCGAGUCCUAGUUGUGACUGACCUUCACCACAGCUGCGGCAACACCAGAUCCUCCACUCCACUGUAUCUGGCCAGGGAUCAAACCUGUGUCCUGAUGCUGCAGACAUGCUGCCAAUUCCAUUGUGCCAUAGUUGAUUCCUAAAAUAUUUUUUAAAAACAUAGCUUAGCUGACAAAAAAUAAGGGAAAUGUCAGGGUUCAGAAGCAUCAAGAAAUCUUGAGUCCACAGAGGUAAAUGCAUUCUGGGGCCAGCAUUUACCCAAAGGGUAUCUACCUAUCUCUGGUCAACCAAAUUCUGGCUUCAACAGACUUCAUGGAACAGAAGAUAAUUCUUGGGGUCCAAUAAAGCUUAGAAAUGGGGAUCCUGCAUAAAGCUAGGACCCCAAAGGGCUAGUAAACUAGGGAGGAAAAGUGUCUACAGAGAUUUGUCUGCCUCUAUCAUCACUGGGGUUGGAGCAGAGAUAAAAAGGGUCUUCCUGAGACUCCAGGACAAGCUCAGUUGCAAGUGAGUGUGGUGCCAGAAUCACACUGCCUAUAUUGCUCCCUCAGCUCCCCCCGCCUCCAGAAAAACUAACUAAAAAUGCAGUCAAAAGUGUUCCCCAGAUGCCUGAUGAAGCAAUCGCAUAUGCUCCCUGGAGAAACACACUUUAACUCUAGGUUUCAAAGACUUUCACAGAUAAACUUCCAAGGAACAGGAGGUCAUACUAAAAAAAAUAAUAAUAAUUAAGCAGAAACUACAUGAAAUGAGAGUCAGCAGAAACAACAUUGCUGAAUCAGACCAACAGCAACUGGAGAUAUUGGAAUUAUCUGUUAUAAAAUAUGAAAUAAUUAUGUGUAGUUUGCUUAAAGAAACUAAGGAGGUAAUUGAAUGUAUGACAGAAGAAUUAGAGUGUCAAAAUUGAUCAGAUGAAUUUGAAAAAGAAUCGAACAGAAUCUCUGGAAAUGGUAAGUAUAAUUGAAAUUAAAGCCGAAUGGAUGAAGGGUUGGUUCUGGGAAAGAUGGAGUAAGCAUACUCUAGGUAGAGUAUAUAUACUCAGUCUCCUCCUGAAUGCAGUUACAAACCCUUGAUACAAUGUAUGGACCAGCAAUAUGAGGACUUGAAAAGUAAAUAGUAUCUAGUAGAUUGCAGACGGAAACAAGAAUUUGAAGUACAAGUGAAUUGGGGUGAGUAUUUCAGUCCCCCCCCCCCCCCAUAUUGCCUUGCUUGGACUCAAAGGCAGCCUAAAACCUGGGAGGGUAUACCAGGUCCAGGCAGAAAGAGCUUCAAGAUAGAGCUCUCUUCCUGGUCUAAAGAAUAAGAAAAGGGAUCCUACUAAGAAUGAGAGCAAGAGUUUUCCUGUUUAUUUUUUCUUUUUUUCCAAGAUCUCCCAUCCUAGCCCUCAGAUACUGGCAAUGGUGAUGACAGCAUCAGCCAAGUGGGCACCUAAAAUUCCAAGGGAAAGGAAACCUUCUUUCUACCAGAAGAUCUUUGAAUGCAAGAGCUUGGGCAAAUUCUUUUUGCUCCUUCCCUGCCUCCCCUCUUAUCCUCCCACUGCUUAGCCUCAGACACAGAUGCAGUCAAAAGAAUUGCAUAGGAGAUCUGAGAUAGUGAAGUCCCAGGUUUCUGGGUGGGGGAUUGGGAAGGGAGGCUCCAGGGAUCUAGAAAGUAUUGGGGUUAUUGUGGAGAUGAGACAGCACGAGAGGGUGAUCCCAUAACUUUGUGUAUGAAUUUCUGGGGUCACCUUCAAAUUGUGGAUCAUGGAUCUGAUCCUAAAUAGAAUAUGAAAGGUUCUGAGAACUGAACUGUAGGGCAGGCUGCUGCUGCCCAGGUCCCAGACUGGCCACUGACAGUGCAUAUGUAGGACACAUUUGAACAGCACUGCAGAAGGCUUUGAAAACUUUAGAACCAGAGCCUGCAGAAAGUGUGUUGAAAUGUAUGGCCUGAACCUAGCCUAAGUCAAUUGUCUGUGUGUGUGCGCACGCGCGUGUGUGCAUGUGUGUGCGUGUCUGUGUGUGUGUAUGUGUGUGUGUGUGUGUGUAAACAUUCUCCUUAGUAAACAAAACCCAGAGUCACAUAACUUGAUAUACAAAAUGUCCAGGAUACAAUCUAAAAUGACCUGAGGUAUAAAGAACUAGAAAAUUUCAACUCUCAGUAAAAAGACAAUCACUUGAUAUCAAUGAUGAGAAAACACAAAUGCUAAAAUUAUCAGACAAAGACCUCAAAGCAUCUACUGUAAGAAGUAAGGAUGAAUGAAAAGUUUUAACAAAGAAAUAAAGGAUAUGGAAGAUCCCAUUGUAGCUCAGCAGAUUAAGGACCUGACGUAGUCUCUGUGAGAAUGUGGGUUUGAUCCCUGCCCUUGCUCAGUGGGUUAAGGAUCCAGCAUUGCUGAAAUCUGCAGUGUAAGUUUGUAGAAGUCACUUGGAUCCAUUGUUGCCAAGGCUGUGGUGUAGGCAUCAGUUGCAGCUUUGAUUCAACUCCUAUCCCAGGAACUUCCAAAUGCUGCAGAUGCAGCCAUAAAAAGGAAAAGAAAAAAGAAAUAGAAGAUAUGAAGAUAUGGAAUUCCCUGGUGGCUCACCAGGUUAAGGAUCUGGUGUCAUCACUGCUGUGGCUCUGGUUGCAGCUGUGGCAUGGCAUACUAUGGAUGUAGCCCCCCCC